GCGGAUGUAGCUCAGUUGGUAGAGCAGAGGGUUGUGGUUCCUCGUGUCGCGGGUUCGAUCCCCGUCGUUCGCCCCA
rnacentral:tRNA from 1 species